ACUCCCCAAGAUACAUGCAGGCAAUCAUACUCCAAGCUUAUGGCCCCCUGAUAUACAUCUGAAGGGUCUCAUGACUGAGGUUUUACUCAACAGUAAUAAAUGGCGUUUUCCUAACAGCAGCCAGCCCCUCAAGGGCCUGGAAACCUUGCUUCAAAAUUCCUUAGAGACUUACGCUGUCCCUAACCCCCUCCCAACCUGAGGGCAUAUGAGUCCCCCA